UACGGAGGGUGCAAGCGUUAUCCGGAUUCACUGGGUUUAAAGGGUGCGUAGGAGGGCAGGUAAGUCAGUGGUGAAAUCUCCAAGCUUAACUUGGAACUGCCGUUGAUACUAUCUGUCUUGAAUACCGUGGAGGUGAGCGGAAUAUGUCAGUGUAGCGGAUGAAAUGCUUAGAUAUGACAUAGAACACCAAUUGCGAAGGCAGCUCGC
rnacentral:rRNA from 1 species